rnacentral:rRNA from 1 species
CACGUAGUUAGCCGGUGCUUCUUAUCUACCUACCGUCACCACCAAAGGUGGCUUCGUCGAUAGCGAAAGGAGUUUACAACCCGAAGGCCGUCAUCCCCCACGCGGCGUCGCUGCAUCAGGCUUGCGCCCAUUGUGCAAUAUUCCCCACUGCUGCCUCCCGUAGGAGUCUGGGCCGUAUCUCAGUCCCAAUGUGUCCGUACACCCUCUCAGGCCGGAUACCCGUCGCCGCCUUGGUAGGCCAUUACCCCACCAACAAGCUGAUAGGCCGCAGGCUCAUCCCACACCGCAAAAGCUUUCCACCACAACAUCCAAGAAGUGGUCCUAUAUGGUAUUAGACCCAGUUUCCCAAGCUUAUCCCAUAGUGCAGGGCAGAUCACCCACGUGUUACUCACCCGUUCGCCACUCGAGUACCUGUACAAGUACAGGCCUUUCCGUUCGACUUGCAUGUGUUAAGCACGCCGCCAGCGUUCAUCCUGAGCCAGGAUCAAACUCU